ensembl:snRNA U6 U6 spliceosomal RNA
GUGUUAGCUUUGGCAGCAUGUAUAUUAAAACUGCCAUGAUACAGAGAGGAUAAACAUGACCGCUGCACAGGAUCACAUGCAAAUUUGUGGAGCAUUCCAUAUCUUC